rnacentral:rRNA from 1 species
UACGAGAGGGGGCGAGCGUUACUCUUCGUUACUUGGUGUAAAGCGUAAUAAGGUUAUAUUGUAAGUUAUUCUUUAAAGGAUAAAUAAGAUUUUAUUAAGGAGAAAUAAUACUGCAAUGUUCUGAGUAUAUUGGGAGAUAGUUGUAUGUUUAGUGUAAAGGUCGAAUUUUUCAAUAUUAAAAAGACGGUCAAUCGGUGAAAACUACUAUCUAUGAUAUUACUGACACUUAUUUACGAAAGCGUGAGGAGCAAACAGGAUUAGAAACCCGAGUAGU